rnacentral:lncRNA from 1 species
GACCUGAAGUCAGCCCAGUCCGAUGGGCGUCGAGCCAGCCCGAGCCCACUUCUAGCCUUACUUGUAAGAUGAUGGACUCCUUGUCAUGUUAUUUUCCAUGCUUGGUUUUGUUGUGAGCUUUCACUCUGACGUCGGCCAAUCUACUCCUCAAUUUUGAUCAAAGUAUAUAAGGUUUGGCUAUGGUCGAACCUUAUAAUCUAAGGAGCAUCGAUCCUAAUUUAGUAGAUCGAUCUAAUUCAAUAAAUUAGCUAGAUCCAAUUAGAUAAAUUAGCAACUACAAAUGGACAUCUAUCUCACAAUCAUAAGAAGGCC